CGAGCACCUCAACCCAAAAACUGCCGCUGCCUGUAGCUGUGGUUUAGCAACUGUGUGCACAGCAAGGUUGCCUUGUCACCUUUGGAGGGGCUGCAUGGUUCUCCAAAGAGUGAAUCAAGGGCUCUCCAGCC
ensembl:snoRNA